rnacentral:lncRNA from 10 species
AUCAUGCUCUUUCCUCCUCUGUGCUUCUCCAGUUUACUCACUAUCAGACUUUUUAUAUAUGGUUGAGAUAGUCAAUGACUCAUGCCUCUUUUCUUCUAAAACCAAAUGCCAGCUCCUUUCUUGCUAGAAUAUAUAAUUUUGGUCUCAUUUCUAAUGUUUUUCUUGUUAAUAAUAACAUUCCUAAUAUUUUUUCUUUCCUUAGGUUGAUAUAUACUAUGAAUACUCCAUUCUUUUAAAGAAGAGCUGGUACAGGUCCUAAAGCAGUUUGAGCAGUACAGCAAUUCUACAGGCAUGGGAUGAGAAAGGCUGAAUGUGGAAAGUCUGGACAGGUACAUGUUGAAGAACGUGAAUAUUUGGAGGACCAAGUUUAAACAAGUUGGAAGGAAGCACCUUCUCUAUGUUGCAAGAAAACAGAGGCAAGUGUUCAAACUGUCACGGAGAAUAACAUGUGGCCAAAAUUACAUGUGGUUCUAUCUCUCAUAACAAGUCUUAGAAUGAUGCAUCAUACCAGCUGUCUGGGAACAAAUGUAUUUUGUUGGCAUGGGAACAAAAGAAUUAGUCUGAAUUUUGUAAUUAAACUGUGGUUAUUAAAAUUACUCGAAACAAACCAGAAUAAUAACCAUUAAACAUGAAAAGUCAAUAAAAGUCUUUGAAUUACAUUUCUGUUGCAAUUCCUGUUUUCAUAACGUGCUUUGGGAUGAAACAUAGCUUUGAGUUGUUAGUACUUUUAAAUAGACUUCACUGCAGAUGAGUUAGCCAACAGCAGCUAAGACUGUGAAGUUUUAAAAUCCUUUAUGGAAAAUGAAAAUUAAAGGCUUGGAAAUCUGUAGAAGACCAAUUCUUUUUAACAAUUGUCACAAUUAUUGCACAAUUGAUUUUCUGUCUCUAUAGCAUCUUCUUCUUUAAGGCUGCCUGUGACUCCAUAGAUUUGUUGGUUACCCUUGAUGAUGACUGAGGUGGUUUAAAGAUAAGCAGUGCUAUCCACUGAAAGCUUUAAGUUUAUUGAUUUUGGUUCUCCUAAUAACCAUGCUACUCCUGGAUAGAUCACUGGGCAUUGUGGGAGGCAAAUCAACUCUUUGGGAAUACAAAUGAUACUAGUUGUAACGGUAUAACAGGCGGAAGGAGCUAAGGAGCUUCCAGAGUCGUCUAAUAUUACCCGAAAGCUACUUAUACUAAAGGGACCAAGUUUUAUUCUUUAAAAACCCAGAGACCUAGGAAGGAAUCAGCAGAAUGCUAAGUUCAUCUAUAGAGAAAAAUCAAGGACUUUUUUGGUGUCUUUUCUGCUUUGGCCUUCUUAUAGGAGAGAUUUGAAAGAAAAAUCUGUCUUGUUUUAGAGGAGAGCAGAAAGGUGGGUGCCACGGGCAGGGCACUGGCAUUUUGCUUUCUCUUCAUCUUUCCCUGACCUGUGAAUGCUUUUUGGUGCUAUAAUGUCUGAGGAAUAGCUGAGGGCCCAGAGAAGCCAUGAAUGAUCCUACCAGAUGAAAUGACCACCCCGGAUGAAAAUGAUAAAAGAAUAUCUUUAAUAUUUGUUUUGAUAAAAGUCUAGACAAGAAUACACUGAGAAAAAGUCACUUAGAAUAUGUUUAGGAGGCCCAAUACCAAGGGCCUGUGAUCAGUACCCAAGUUCAGCAACUUUUGGAACUCUUCGUCCUCAAAGUCCCUGUGGCCUGUGAUGCUGCUAAUUCUUCCUCCCUCCUUCUCUCCAUCUGUCACCCUCCCU